rnacentral:lncRNA from 10 species
GUAAGAGAAAGGGGCAUCUCCAAAGCCUUUAACUUUUUGUUCCCACGGAGACUCCUAGCUUCCUCCUGUCCCAAUAAUUUAAAUAGGUUCUAGUGCAAAGGAGGUAGCUUCUGUGGGAAAUGAAAUUUUAAAACAUCCCCAAAUUCAUCUACCCUCGAUUUUCAAUUCCUCUCUAACCUUGCCCUAGAACACAGCCAGCUCUUUUUCUUAAUCCCAUCUUUCUCCAUUCUUGCCUUAAAAUCUCCCAGUGAAAUCUAGGGUACCGGAGCUUAAAAAUAAAUAAAUGCAAUCAAAGGGUCUGAGGCUAUGCGAAAGGUGCAGAGGAGUGGAGUAGGGAAAGGGAAGCAGGGGUUCCUUUGUGAACGGGAUCCUUUAUCUUCGAAGCAAACGCAAAUCAGAGCCGUGCUUCUGCGCUCCGAAGUGCGGCUGCCACAUUUGGAGAGAGCGGGCAGCGGCUAGCUCUGCGGGUUUGGGGGUGCUUCUCCUCUGCCCCAUCUCCGUGGAGUUUGGUACUUAAAAGCCCAGUGUGUCAACCGCUCAGACUUGAAGGUGGUUAGGUAAAGAGUUAAGAAGCGAGGCGGCUUACACCCAUAACUUUAUCCUCCCCCUCACCUGUAUUUUUCUCCCCUCACACCCCUCCCUCUUCAAACGGCCUUUCAAAGAUGACUUAGGGGUUCCACGAAUGUCGCUGCACGGUUUUGCUUCUCCUCGGGUGCCAUUUCGAGGAGCCUAGAAACUUCCUGCCUUUCUGGUUGACCCUCCGCAGGGCUUUCUCUGACACCGCCAUGGUGGCAACAUGGGCCAAGUGGUACAGGGACCAGCCUAGCGGGUGGGAGGCCUCGCCUGUGGGCUGAGGAGGCACGACCCUGAUCCCCGGCGCGCACAGUAGAAGCGGGACCUGUGCUAAGCCACGGGAAGGGGGGCGCGCCGCGGGCGCGGGGGGCGCGUGGGGCACGUGUUCACCCCAGCACUGGAAAGAGACUUGCGGUGGGCGCCGGAGUCAAGUCUCCUGAUGUUCAUGCGGAGGGGAGAGGAUUUGUAGCCAUCUUUGCUCUGGGUGGAGAUUUCAUAUCCGCAGUCACACGAGGUAACCGACACCCCCCCCCCGUAACCUGAGCUAAAGGUAAAGGUGAUCCUGAAACCGCUUGCCCCUGGGAACGUCGCUCCGGACGGGCGUCAUCUGCCACGUGUGAUAGGAGCCGUCUGGCCAAGUGGAAAAAUCUAGGCUAAGCGCAGAGCACAACCCUGGCAGGGUCAAGUCCGAUUUCAAGCCCAACCCGAUGGGAUUCAGAAAAGCCCGCCCAGCGUCCCCAGGCCCAGCAGUCCACGCCACACCGUCGGCGACGGAUUUCGUUUCUAUUCCCCGCACGCGCCCCAGCAACGCAGAAGGAGAUCCAGUUUCGCCACAACGUUCCCGUUGGCUUGCUGGUUUGAAAGUUGAAGCCCCGGGGUAGUAAAUUUGGCUACAAAAUCUCAAAUCUCGUUAAUCCUAGACAAAAUAAAAACAUAAUAGGCCACAAAUUAACUAGCUUGGGGCGGUUUCUGUGAUGGUCACCUGGCGGUGCGCAAGGAGUUAUAGAACCUUGAGGGGGGGAUCUUUUCUAUCUCUAAUUACCUGUAUGUGUAAAGAACUCAAGAAGACGUCAGAACAGGGUCUCCUAUCAACUGCUACCUAUUGCUGUCUCGCAAACAUCCCCCUAAACCCGCUGCAUCGACAGCUUCGGGUGAGGGUGGGGUAAGAGGCACUUACUGUGAGGCCGAGCUCCCGCACGAAUUAGCCUCACAACAGGACCUAGGUCUCCUAGGGAGACGAAACUAGGCCAGCGAAAUCGCGGCCAGGGAGCCCCUGGCCCCCACUCGGGAGACAACCCGCCCGGCGCGAAGGGUGCGUCUCCUGAGCUCCACGCCGGGAGCUGGAAGGCAGGCAGACGCGCGAGGCUUGGGAAGGGUGGGAUCUUAAAAAAAAAAAAAAAAUCUUAAAAAAGAGAAAUAAAUUUGAACAAAACUAAACUACAAGCCCGCAGUUCCCCGCCGAAAGCGAGGUGGGGGAGGAGGGGGCGGGAACGGUCGAGGCACUGAGAGUGGGGGAUGAGAAACGAACUCCGUCCCCUGCACAGUCAGUGCCUUCGGGGGCUCCACCACCGCGCGCUCCCACCCUCAAGGUCUGCAGGACACACCAAAGAACUCCUCCAAGUCACACAAGGGAGAAAAUUAACUUCAUUGGCUUCUAUCAGGAAAGCUAUUUUUUUUUUCCUCUUCUUUCCUGCAAGUUUCCCAAACCCCAUGACUCUGAUUUCCAGGUCAGAGACUAAGGUUUUAUUUUUCUUACUCUGUAUACUUUAUAUGUGGAGAGUCCCUGAAGGAACACUGUGAUGGGCUGAUUACUGUGAGCCAGUUGUGGGCCAGACCUGGCCUCAGGUGCUGCAAAGGGAAUUCAGUCACCCCUGUGCAGUGAUCUGUGAGCCCCAAGUCAGAUCCAACUUUUUCCUGAUAGACAGCACCCUCCUCCUCCCUACCAAGAAAUAGCAGGGUUGGAGGUAGUGACCCAAUAUUCAAGAGGUUUGAAAUUCUACAUGAGAUAUUUCUGAGUUAACUCCUAAAUAGCAGUUUCCUUAAUCAUGUGGAAAAUAAGAACACUUACUAAAGAGACCAUUGGUUUAAGAGAAAUGGAAACUUAUGUCCACGUAAAAACCUGUAAAUGAAUGUUCACAGCAGCCUUUUCAUAAUAGCCAAAAAGGGAAAGCAAUCCACACGUCCAUCAACCAAUGAAUGGAUAAACUUAACGUGGGAUAUACGUGUAAUGGAAUGCUAUUUGGUGAAGAAAGAAAUGAAAUAUUAAUACAUGCGUUAACAAGGAUGGACCUUAAAAUAUCAUGCUAAGUAAGAGAAGCCUGUCACAAAAGAAUAUGUAUUGUACCAUUCUACUUAUAUGAAAUUCCUAGAAUAGGCAAUUCUAUAGGGACAGAAACUAGACUAGUGAUUGGCUAGAGCUUGGGGAGAGUUUGGGGAGCCUGGAGGAUGACAGCAAAGUGGUGCAGAGUUUCUUUUUAGGUUGAUUAAAUGUUGUAAAAUUAAUUGUAGUGAUGGUUGUGCAACUUUGUGAUUUUGUUAAAAACCAUUGCAUUUUGCCCUUUAAAUGGAUGAAUUGCACAAUGUGUGAAUUAGACAUAAGUUUAUUUACAUAAUUAAUAUCUAUUUAUUGAUAUAUAACUCAUAUAUCAAUAAAUAUAUACUAUAUAAAAUAAUUUUAUAUUUAUAUAAAAUGUGAAUUAUAUAUAAAUACAUAAAUAAAACUGCUAAAAACUAAAAAAUAUAUACUUUAAAAAAAGGCUGUUCGUUUCUUUCACAUUUUCUGAGCACAAUCACUUUGGGAUAAAUGUGUCCAGGCUUAAAAAGCCAGAUUUUAUGGGCUAACUAAAAUGGAAAUGUGAAAAACUGUGUUUUUUUCCAUAGGAGGAGAGAGUCUGAUUUGCAGGUACGUGCAUACCCACAGCAGUCAUACUUGUAAUUCUUGGAAACUUUGCUGAAAGUUUUUUCCUAGCCUGAAAUCAUUAAAAUAUGUUGAAACAAUGACACU